AGAGAUUUGACCGAGUGGACGAUGGUGGUAACCUUGAGUUUUAUUAAGAAGCAAUUCUUCAUGGGUUCGAAUCCCAUAUUCUCUG
rfam:Verticillium dahliae VdLs.17 supercont1.53 mitochondrial scaffold, whole genome shotgun sequence.